UGAGGAAUAUUGGACAAUGGGCGCAAGCCUGAUCCAGCCAUGCCGCGUGCAGGAAGAAGCAUCUAUGGUGUGUAAACCGCUUUUGUACGGGAAGAAACACUCCUUUGAGAAGGAGCUUGACGGUACCGUAAGAAUAAGGAUCGGCUAACUCCGCGCCAGCAGCCGCGGCAAUACGGAGGAUCCAAGCGUUAUCCGGAAUCAUUGGGUUUAAAGGGUCCGUAGGCGGCUUAGUAAGUCAGUGGUGAAAGCCCAUCGCUCAACGAUGGAACGGCCCUUGAUACUGCUAGACUUGAAUCAUUAGGAAGUAACUAGAAUAUGUAGUGUAGCGGUGAAAUGCUUAGAUAUAACAUGGAAUACCAAAAGAGAAGGCAGGUUACUACUAAUGAAUUGACGCUGAUGGGCGAGAGCGUGGGGAGCGAA
rnacentral:rRNA from 1 species